rnacentral:rRNA from 1 species
CAGUCGCCACGGGAAUACGGAGGGGGCUAGCGUUGUUCGGAAUUACUGGGCGUAAAGCGCACGUAGGCGGACUGGAAAGUCAGAGGUGAAAUCCCAGGGCUCAACCUUGGAACUGCCUUUGAAACUAUCAGUCUGGAGUUCGAGAGAGGUGAGUGGAAUUCCGAGUGUAGAGGUGAAAUUCGUAGAUAUUCGGAAGAACACCAGUGGCGAAGGCGGCUUACUGGCUCAUUCUAGACGCUGAGGUGCGAAAGCGUGGGGAGCAAACAGGAUUAGAUACCCGCGUAGUCCCUGUCUCUUAUAC